ACAGAGGGAACUGCACCUCUUUCAGGGUGUCUCAAGGAAUAAAAAAGUGCAUUUUGCUGAUAGAUUGCUAUUAGGGACCCUCUAAACCUCUCAGCCACAAGAAGACUGUUUUGCUACUCUUUUUGUUGAGAAGGCAAAGGAACUGAUUUGGAAAAUGUAAAACCUACAAUGUGUUUUCAUUGCAGAUCGUGGCACUUUCGUCCUGAAAUUUGGGGAAGAUAACUUUUAAUUACGGUAAUAAGAACCACAUGGGCAAUGACUGAUGCGAACCUGCUGGGUCCUAUUCCUUUAUCCAUCUUUUUAAUGAGAGGCCAAAGACUGUUUUCUCUGCCGGGAAGGAGAAGAGCUGGGCCUCGAUGCUCGGCUGCACUUCGGGAUGGAGACCGGAUUGCUUGCCAAGGGUCCCUGGUAGCCUGGGCGGCGGGGGAGGGACCCAGAGCUGGGAUCACCUGUUUCCAGCUGGGGCCGGCUUUGCCUCUAUUUCUUGCUGCAAGUCAUCCUCGCGAACAAACUCUUCUUUUUCUUUCUGUUGGAACGGUCUUCCUGGCAUUACUGAAACUGGGGAGUCAGGGAGAGGAUUGAAACAGCUGCCACACCAGUGUUGGGAGUUGACAUCUGCCAUGAAAUUGAGGGGGAAGGCCUGCAGUGGCGACGUCAAGGCAGCUGGACAGGGGCUGCCACCGAUAGGGGCACGUUGGAAUGUGGACUGAGGCCACAGAAACCAAAGAAUAACGGGGUCAGCACUAACUGGGAUUGCUGGCUGAUGACAGAACUGACAAAAUAGAAAAGCAGGGUUGGGAAAAAAAUAAGUAAAUAAUCAACAUAUACGGAGCACUGUAUCACACCCACUUGAAAGGUUUAUAGAAGUCAGCUCUUUGAGCUCAAUGGCGUGGAAUCGUUUAUUCAUUCGACAGAUUUUUAUUGAAGUCUUAGCGUUCAUCAGACUGUGCCAGGCCCUGGGGAGGCUGUUCCGAGGAAGAUAACCUGGGAGAGUCAUGACCUCACGAAUGAUGUAGAUUCUUUUCGCAUACGGAUCAUCACAGGAUAUUGGACAAUGUUCUCUGUACCUUACAGCAGGUCCCCGUUGGCCAGUCAUUCCACAGACCUCAGUGUGCAUGUGCCCAAAAUCCCAAACCCCAAGGCCAUCCCCAUACAUUUGUUUUCAAAGUCUGUAUGUUCCUAUUCUGCAGGCUAGAGCCUGAAGUCCUGGGGUCCGGGGGUUGAGAAGAGAACCUAACGCGUUAGAACGAGAACAAGCUGGAAGCCACGAACAGAGGUGGGAAGCCAGAAAGCCUCCUGUCCGGCCUCUGCUGAGAACUAUGGGUUCUCAGUGCCCACAGCCUCGAGGGUAACCACGUCCUGCAGGAGACAUCAGCCCCCUCAUCACAGAGCUGAACACCGGCCCUGGAUGUGGAGACGCUGAACAGAAUCCGCAGGAAGACAGAGGGGUUGCAGGCCCGGCUGCAAGCCCACACGGAUGAAGCAAAGCGACGCAGAAGGGCGAAGUGCCCUUGCUGUGAAUUUGCCUGGUGACCCUGCCCUGACCCUCUGAGGAUGUAAACAACCUGCCUGCAGCUUUACUGCCACCCUCCACCUGUCGGGCAGCAGGCGUCUUUUGCAGCCCCCUUUACGGAUGAUGUAGAGGGAAGGGGAUUCUGGGAAAUGUAGUUCAGCCAAAGCUCUGCGGCUCCUCGUUCUGUCAUCCUAUCCUGCCUUUCAACCCCAUUGAGUUUAAUGUUGGAAUAGCUGUCCAAUGUCGAGGUAAACGGCUAAAUGGUCGCAGGAGUGAAUACAUCCUCCAAGCCCCCUCUUAGAACCGGAAUUCUGCAUGGCCUUGUUAAGAUUUCAAAAAUCAGUUUCAACCAGUAGACAAAACAUGCAUAGUGUUCGGACCGCAGACCUGGGAGAAAGCAAAGGCCUCCCUCCAAGGAGGUAUAGUUGGAGACUGUUUUGAAAGGAAUCACUUAAAAGGGGCGGGCAGGGUGUAAGGAAGCCACCGGGAUAGUGCAGUGCUCUGAGGCCUGCAACGCUUGCAACUGUGGGUCUCUUGCCAGAGCCUCUUCCCAAAGGAUGGGAGACCUCGGGUACCAGGGUGGAGAACCCUACAGAGGGCACCCUCCUGGAGACAGGCACAGCCAGUUCCGGCUAUCCCUGCAAAUGACCCCUGUCUCAGCCUUCCCUCUGAUCUGCCGCAGGGACUUCCCAUGGGCUGGACGCAGCAAAAGCCAGUGAGCAAACGAGCCCCUGGCGGGGCAGACAGCGGGGUGGAGAAGAGUGGAAAAUGUAUGCAAAGGAGCAAGGGAGCAGACUCAGCAAAACCACCCCCGUCGUCAUCCACACAGACAUCAGAGAGACCCAACCGUGACCCGGGCCGGCACUGUUCUCUUGGAAGAAGGAGGCGGUGUGUUGAGGAGUUUGCGACUCAACCAGAACUUGAGCCCCCUUAAGGUCGAGGGUGUCUCUGUCACGCCACAUCCCUCAUACCCAGCCUGAUGUCUGGCUCCUAGUAGGGCUCCAUAAAUGUUAUAUUAACUGAGUUGAUUGAAUGAAAUUAGGUCAUUGAAGACAGCGCCACCGUGUAGACACUCACGCCCUGGGUGCUAACUGUGUGUCAUCACCUCCAGAUAGCCUUGAAAUUUUCAAACAUCGUAAACACUUGGACAAUUUAACUUCCUUUUUAUAUUCCCACCCCUCCCGUAAAUAAUGAAAGCCAGAAAGGAGGAAAGAAGAAAAUGCAAGGGCCUGUGUAAUUUGCCAGAGGCGUAGCUAGCCUCCAGACAAAGAUCCCGGUAGGUUGCAACCCUCUUGUCCUGUUGGAGCUUUAGUGCUGAGCAAUGGAGAGCCUUCUCCACCAUAGCCAGGCAAGUGCUGAAGCCUUGGCAUAGUUGGAAAUGACUCCAUAUUUCUAAUACUAGUUUUUCUUUUAAGCUAUUUGUAAAUGAUUUAUGGUAGCAGCAAAUCAGAUCAUGAUAAGAUAAAGCUUUUUAGAGGUCAUUAAAGAGUUUGGGGGAAGUUCCCACAAAGAUGCUGGUCUUAUACUGUCUGAGUGAUAAGGCAAGUUAACAAUUUAUGUCAAAGUUUGCAAAAUGUGUUUGUCUGAUAAACAGUUUCCUCUGCGAGCAUCAAUCAUGCUUGCUCUCGGUGGUGUGUUGUAUUUUUCAUGAAGUGAACUUUCGUGACUUUGCCCAUCUACGGGUUUCUGAGAUUGUGGCAUGCUAAAGGGAGCUUCCCAUCUACCCUGUACAGCUGCAUUUCAGAUCUCAUGGUGCAGCUGCCGUAACGCGGGUGCCAGCGUGGGCUGGGAAGGAGGAAAGCGGGUGCCAUUGGGAAGGGAAGAGUCACACAGCCCCGGAUCAGGAAAACAUAGAUUCACUGGGGCAAAAAAGAUGAAGCAGGUGUGUGACUACACACUGUUUCAAGCACAAGACUUCUAGGUGGUAUGGACUCCGAUGGAUCCAGUCGCAUCCUGGAAGACCGCACUGGUCACUGAUUCAAGUGCGCUAUCAGGAGGCAUUGUCCGUAUGAGGUAGGGAGCUGCUGUCCCGUUUCAGCUCCGGUCCUUGCUCCACGUCCUCCUCUGGAAAAUAAGGAUAGUAACACCUGCACCAUCCAUCUCGUAAGGUGGUUCCGAGAUCAGACACAGGAUUGCAUAGGCGCAGACUCCGCACACGCAAUCGCUCUGCAAAUAUAAGCAACACGAUAAGUGUUGGCUCAGGAGAGAGGGUGUAUUUGCUGUCCUUCUACAAUUUUAAAAAUAAAAUAAGACGCUCUCAAGACCGCAGGACAACUUGGUUAACAUACGUUCAGCUUUCUCCAAUCUCACCAUUUUGGAAGCAUUUGCAACUGCUUAUAAAUCACUUCUCGAAAUUGCCCUGAGCCGAAAUGAUAUUUCGGAGCGCAUGUUAAAAGCCUGUAAGUGCUUCUGUGCUUGAACAAAGUGAAAUCAGGUUACGUUAAUAGAAGUAUUAAUUAAUUUGCUCUAAUUUUAUGCAGCAGAAUUAGCAUUAUUGAAAAGUCUCUCCCUUUCUCGAGUACCCUAAAGUGCAGGAGGCUUUGGCGUUGGGGGCUCAGCUAUCGCACCUCCCAGUGAGUGUGGGAGUGGGGAAGAUUAUUCUCUAAUUUGGAAACCUGAGACGUUCCUGGGAAGUGCUGUGGGGUGUGUUAUAAUGAAAAUACCAAUCCACAUUUGCCAUGGUUGCCAUAAGCAAAAAUCUUAAUAUCUUGGCCAAACCUACUUAAGGUUCAUGUAAUAAACCCGCAUUCCUAAUUUUAUUAGUGAUGGGCCACGUUAAGCACUUUGCUGGCCUUUGGACAGAUUUACAGCUUGACUGUGCUGACUUAGUGGUGACUGACAAGAGGACAUUGUUUUAUAGGAUGCUAUUUAGAUAAAAACCUGCAGGGUGUUUCUGUAAUGUUGUCACUUCAAGUCCAAACAGGAAAAAAGAAAUGUGUAUGAAGGAGGCCUCUUCAUCAGCUUUUCUGAGUUUAAUCUACUGCAGUCAAAUGCUUCCUUAUAAGGCAAGACAUUUUAAUGUACAGAGACACCCUUAUCUCUGUUGCAGGUUUCAGAAUAAAACAAUCUCUUAGGCUUAGGACUGCAUCAAAAAAAAAAAAGUUCAGUGAGUUAAUAUUUGUUAAGUGCUUAGAACAGUGCCUGGCAUACAGCACGCUCACUCUGUGUUUGUUGCAUAAGUGAAAUAGAUAAAAUGGAAAUGUGUUUUGCUCAUUCCACAGUGUCUUUGUUUAGUCCCCCAGCAUCACGUCCAGCCCCUCUCCUCCUUAGCAGCAUUUUCUUGCUACUGCGGUUUCCAAAAGGUUAGUCAUUAGACCUCCCCAUGGUUUUAAGAAUUCACAGACCUCCUGUUACCAGGAGGAAGCGCAGAACCUUCUCUGCAUUCGUGAACCUCAGCGCUAACAUUCCUGCUGGGUUUUCGACCUGAGCGCGCUCGGCCCGUCGGUUACAGGAGAUCGGAUUGGCUUCUGAUGGUGUUGGGGAGGAUGUGACAUUUGGGGUUCCCUGUACCUCGCCAGAAACAGCUGAGUGAGGUUGCGAGCACGGACCCUGGCCGCCCUCCCUCUUGGUUUGGUUACUGAGGGAAUAAGUCUUCUUUAGAAAUUGACGUCAAGGUUUAUAAAUGUGUUUUCUUCAUGACCCAGACAGGUCUUUGGCCUGAAUUCAAAUUCAUUCAUCCACAUCCCGACUCCUCUUUCUUCUCAUUACGAAGAAAAAAAGAAAAAGAGGAGAUAAGACACUGAACACACUCUUCUUUUCUGGGACCAAAGAUAAAGAUAAUUCUGUCCAAAGCUGACUUUACACAGUAUCACGGAAAGGCUUGACUUGAGACUCCAACUUCCAACUGAGAGAUUCUUGAAGAGGGUCUUAGGAUCUGUAUCAAACUCGUUAGCACGGGCCACACGAAAGGAGACCGCCAAUACUUGUGACAUUGUUCUCCCGUUUAGCCAAACUAUGUUCCUGUUGCCUACAUGCGGUGGGCGAGGUAGACAAGGAGCAGACUCGAGCUCACUGGAGGGAGAUGCUGACCCACGGCCCUGUUUCUGGUGAAACCCCUGCAGACAAUUCCGGUCCAGGCGGGAGCUGACUAGACUGCUACCAGCAUCUUCAUCUUUGACCUGAGGAGCUCAAAAAACCCGACAAGUGUUCCUUAUUCCUCCCAGCUCUCUCCUGGCGACACAUUAUUGUCUCAGUUCACACAAGCAUAGACCCAGCAGUGGAAUAACUUGAGCAAGGUUCCUUGGAUCCCAACCUCUGUCUUUCAAGGGCCUCAUGUCCACAAAGCCUGGCCUCUCCCCGUGGGCUCUCAGCCGCUUUGGAAAUCCAGGUACAGGGGAUAUAAAUUAGGCAUCAUCUAUUCUGACUCUUGGUCCUGAUGCUUUUGGUCAAACAUCUGGAUAUAACAUGCACCCUGACUGCAUGUGUAUCCUACCUCCUCCCCAAGCUAGCAGGCUGAUCACCUGAGGCUCACUUUUCUCCUCUCUAAGUAAGGUUCAUAAUAGCAAAUCCCUCCUAGAGUUGUUUUGAGGAUUGCAAAGGAAAAUAAAUGCAAAGUUCUUAAAAAC
rnacentral:lncRNA from 1 species